ACCCGGGUGACGCAAUUGGUUAGCGUGUCAGACUUUUACAGCAUUGUAAUCUGAAAGUUAGGGGUUCGAGUCCCCUCUCGGGUG